rnacentral:rRNA from 1 species
GUACACGCUGUGACUAGCAUAUCAAUAAGCGGAGGAAAAGAAACUAACAAGGAUUCCCCUAGUAACGGCGAGUGAAGCGGGAAGAGCUCAAAUUUGAAAUCUUAAAGGGUUUCCCUUUACGAAUUGUAGUUUAAAGAAGUGUUUUCUGUUGAGGUUUCGGUAAAAGUUCUUUGGAAUAGGACAUCAUAGAGGGUGAGAAUCCCGUAUUUGACCUUUACUUUCAACUUUGUGAUACACUUUCAAAGAGUCGGAUUGUUUGGGAAUGCAGUCCAAAAUGGGUGGUAAAUUUCAUCUAAAGCUAAAUAUUGGCGAGAGACCGAUAGCGAACAAGUACCGUGAGGGAAAGAUGAAAAGAACUUUGAAAAGAGAGUUAAACAGUACGUGAAAUUGUCAAAAGGGAAGCGUUUGACACCAGUGUUGUUUUUCUGAAAAUCAAUUAAAGAACUGUUUAUGCUAAGCUGUUUAGACUUUAUCAGCUAUCUGUUUAGUUUUGAGCUUUUCUUUAAUGCACUUUUCAGUUAACAAGUCAACAUCAAUUUCUUUUGCUGUAAAAAAGCUUGAGGAAGGUGGCUUGAGAUUCGUCUUAAGUGUUUAUAGCCUCUUGCCUAUGCAGUCGGAGAGAUUGAGGUCUGCAGCGUAGAUCCUUCGGGGCUAAAUGCAUUUGUGCUAAGUUAUAACAUUUUAUAGACAACUUGUUGACUAUGAUUUGUCUUGUAGCUUACUCGCUUAUGUUAUUUUACCUACGCUUAGGAUGUUGACGCGCGUGUGUGCGUG